rnacentral:tRNA from 1 species
GGCGCAUUGGUGUAAUUGGUUAACACGCCGCCCUCUCAAGGCGGAAAGUACGGGUUCGAUCCCCGUAUGCGCUACUA